GAUGAAGAACGUAGCAAAAUGCGAUACUUGGUGUGAAUUGCAGAAUCCCGUGAACCAUCGAGUUUUUGAACGCAAGUUGCGCCCGAAGCCUUUUGGCCGAGGGCACGUCUGCCUGGGCGUCACGCAUCGCGUCGCCCCCCACAAUUCUCCGUAAAUGGAACGUGUGUUUUGGGGGCGGAUAUUGGUCUCCCGUGCUCAUGGCGCGGUUGGCCGAAAUAGGAGUCCCUUCGAUGGACGCACGAACUAGUGGUGGUCGUAAAAACCCUCGUCUUUUGUUUCGUGCCGUUAGUCGCGAGGGAAGCUCUUCAAAAACCCCAGCGCGUCGUCUCUUGACGGCGCUUCGACCGCGACCCCAGGUCAGGCGGGACUACCCGCUGAGUUUAAGCAUAUCAAUAAGCGGAGGA
rnacentral:misc_RNA from 1 species